rnacentral:rRNA from 1 species
UUUAUUGGAGAGUUUGAUCCUGGCUCAGGAUGAACGCUGGCGGCGUGCCUAAUACAUGCAAGUCGAGCGAAUGGAUUGAGAGCUUGCUCUCAAGAAGUUAGCGGCGGACGGGUGAGUAACACGUGGGUAACCUGCCCAUAAGACUGGGAUAACUCCGGGAAACCGGGGCUAAUACCGGAUAACAUUUUGAACCGCAUGGUUCGAAAUUGAAAGG